rnacentral:rRNA from 1 species
AGUGUACAAGGUUUCCGUAGGUGAACCUGCGGAAGGAUCAUUA